CAGGCCCGUAUGGCGGGGAGUGUGUGUCCGUGUGGGGCCGCGGCCCCGUGUCCGUGUGCCCGCCUCGGCCCAGGCGGGGGCGGUGCGGGCGGUGCUGAGGCCUGAAACGGCGCCGAGUAACGGCCCCGGGGAGCGAUGGCCUUGCGGGGCCCUGGGCGAGGUUGCUGUCAUGAAGGCAGAUUAUCUCUGAGCAGUCAGAAUAUGGAGAGAAUGUAAGAAAAAGGUCUCUUCCCAUCUCCUCAGGAAAGCUGAAGGACAGAAAGCUCAGCUCUAAGCCCUACAUCUCCCCUGUAUUAAAAAUGCAGGACUUCUUAUUUGUGUGGAAUCAAACUCAGAGCUCCUCAGCUCAUGUGUGGAUUUUAAGAGCAACUCUACAACUGAGUUUCUCCUCUGCCAAAGAAAUCUUCAAAUAAAAAAUACAUUUUUUUUCCCAAAUAAAGUAGCACCUUUCUACACGUAGGUGAAAAACUUCCCCAGGUGAAAAAAGGAGAAAUGUAUACUUCAAGAAAUGGAGUUUCUAAA